AAUUCAAUUGAAGAAACAUGGCACAAACUCAGAAUACAACAAUACAAAAUAUAACACAACCCUGGAAGGAGGUUCUUGCAAUAUAGAUUGUAACAACAACACCAAUUAAGCUCAAAUAUUACAAGAUAGUUAGAAAACAAAUAUACAACUUUAAACCCAGCUAACAAGGAGUUACAGAUGAUGAGGAUCCUUUUCCUGUCGCAACAAGUGUUUAAAAGAGAUUAAGACGGAGAACAAACUCUCAAACUUCGUGGGACAGUAAAUACCUCAAGAGUGGAGGGCAUUACAUACCUCAAGAGUGGAGGGCAUUACCGCUCAACUUCCACCAGGAUAUUCCAAUCUCAAACUUCGUGGGACAGUAAAUACCUCAAGAGUGGAGGGCAUUACCGCUCAACUUCCACCAGGAUAUUCCAAAGAAUAUCACAGUAUCUCCUAAUCUCCUUAAUCCCCAAGCACAAUAAAAGUAAAUCCACCAAAUCAUUCUGUGGUGAGAAACAACUGACUGUACGAACUGUACAAAGAUACAUCACAGACGACAACCCAAUCUCCAGCCAAACAGAGCAUGGUUCCCGGUAAGUAGGACCGUAAGUAAGCCGGAGAUGAAGAACGAAAAGAAAUCCUAACAUGAGCUGGUCAUAAAAUGGGAGGCUUGUAGCUUAAAGAGGGGUUUAAGCAAAUGCUUGACAGUGUAGGGCCUUCGUGGGCAUAAAUGAAUCUGGGCCAUCCCGGCCUGGUUUUUAUAUAAUUUUACUUUUGGGCCUAGCCUCAAUCUUUCCCUUUAAGAAAAUAAAAGGGUAAAGUAUGGGUACAAUACGACAUUCAGAAGCACAUCAUUUUCAUUGCAGAAAACCGUAAAGCGGCAUGACGUUUGCACUGUGAGCUUUUGGCCCAUAAAACCCGAAGGUGUCGAGAAAAAUGUUAAUGAGAGAUUAAGAACAAGCAUCUAAGAAGCUAUACAACCAUUAUCAAACAACUGUGUGCAUAAUGUCCAUGACCCCAAGAUAAGAUCCUCUAUUUAUAUACUUGUUGCCCAUAAACCAAA